CUUACAGACAGGAACUCUCAAGCAAUACAACGAAUCAGAAUUAAGAAUUUUAUAUAUGCAAAAUUUAGUUUUACAUGAUCUCAUGUGAAGCCACCACGUUUCAUUUACCCUCCGUGUAACCUUACCGACUUUGCCCAGUUUAAGAUAUGGCAUCUGAGUGCUGUCUCAGUCUCACCAAAUACUUCCUCUUUCUCUUCAACUUGACAUUCUUUUUUUUAGGAUCACUCCUCUUAUCUAUGGGACUAUGGAUACUACUUUCAGAGAACGCAAAUCUCAUACCCCCUCCUCCCUACCUUUCCGUCGCUCUCUUUUCCUACCUGCUGAUCGUCAGUGGCUCUGUGACCAUGUCAUUAGGCUUCUUAGGAUGUUUGGGUUCUCUGAAGACUGUCAAAUGCCUGCUGGCAACUUACUUUAUCCUGCUCACAGUUCUUCUUGCGGCUCAGAUAGUGGGUGCGGUUCUUUUCUACACCCAGAAGACUGAGGUAACUCAAGCGUGAGGAUCAGCAGUCCCACUCAGUUAGUGUUGGGCUUUUUAGAACGAUCCAGCACAUGACUUAAUUAAUCCUCUUUGGUGUCAAGAUUUAAAUCAGUUUGAUUGAUUUCUAUUAUUGAUAGCUAUGCCUAUAAAGCUUCAGAUGCAAUCAUGACCAAAACAUCUUGUUUUUUUCCCCACUCUUAAUCAGUUGGCUGGUUCACUAAAGGACCACACUCUUCAAAUAAUAUACUCAGUUAAAAGAAACGAUUCCAGUCUCAAGAGUUUUGAAUGUACUCUAGAUUACAUUCAGAAGGAGACCAAAUGCUGUGGUUGGGGUGGAAAAGAAGACUGGGGGGACUCUAUACCCUGUUCUUGCUACGACAAGGGAAAUGCGACAUAUGAAAUAAAAGAUCAAAAAUGUUCCACAAAUUGUACCUUUUCAAAUUACACCUACGGGAUUUAUAGUCAGGGUUGCAGUGAGAAUAUAAAAAAAUGGCUGGAUGAAAAUCUUCUCAUAAUUUUGGUGAUUAUCUUGGCCAUUUCUGUGGUGGAGAUAUGUGGUAUGAUCCUUUCGAUGUGUCAGUAUAAAGAGGGUUCUGUGGAUUACAACACAGUUCUUCACUGAGAUGACCAGGAUCAGUGAGAGGGAAAAAAAGUCAAGUAUUUGUUUUCUGUCAUUCAUAUAUAUGAUGUUUUGUUGGUGCGUUUUUUAUGAGAUUUUUUUUUCUAUACAGUAUUUGAUUGUUUUAUACAGAUAUUGUUUGUUCAAAAGGCAGUCACUUGUUGAUUUUCCUUGUUAUUUAGAUGCUAUGUGUUUUUAUUUGUUUAUGAAAAAGUACAACUAAUUUGAACCUGUUCAUAUAAUAGUUAAAGGAUAUAAACUUUUAUUUAUUAAUUCUCAAAAUAUGUGCAUGUGACUAAGAAUGUUUUCAUUUGUUCAGUUUAGCCACUGGGUGAGAAAAACGUUAGGGUGGGGCAGUAUAAUAUUUCACCAUUGUUGUGCACACAAAGCAAAUAACCUCAAUAUUGAGGCAAUGUGUGCAAUACUGUUCUCAUAACAUGUAUUUUAGAUGUAAAAUAUUCAAACUCAAAUUGUCCUUAAAUAUAUUUUGUUUUUUAUGUAAGGUGACAACAAGUGGUACAACAUGUGGCUUUUAAAAAUAUUUGAAUUUAAAGUAAAUUGUGUAAAUACACUUUUAAAAAAAAAGGAUAAUUGUAAUAAAAUUGCUGUUUCUAAAUGGAAAUAAAACAAAAAAUAACAUAAUAAAGUUGUUUUUUUGUUUGUUUGUUUUUUUGUCAAAACAAAUGUAUUUAUGUGUUUAUUUAAACUGAGGAUCUAAAUGAUAAUGGUAAUACCCCAUAGCAAGUUAUUGUUAGGGCAGGGAGGAGGACAGUACACUUGUUAUCAGGUAUCCUAUAUAUACAUGCUGUGUUCAUCUCCCUCAUAAAUUCCAGAGCAACACUACAGACCAAGAAGUUUGAUAAAGAAACGAUAAAGAUGGGAUCCCGCACAUUGGUUCUGAUCAUGUUUUUAGGUGCAAUCUGUGUUGCCCAGGCACUCAGGUGCAACCGCUGCCAGAUGAUUAACAGUGACUAUCCCACCUGUAAUGAGAUAGAGGAGAGUGAAUGCAGCAGUGGUUUUGACAAGUGCAUUAAACUCAAAAUGCAUCAUCCAGCCUAUGGUGAGCUGCGCAGAUGUGCCAAAACUAUUGAGUGUGAUGCUCAGGUGCCUCCUCAGGUGGAGAAAGUGUGCUGCAACACAGAUCUCUGCAACUGAUCUGCUCCAUCAGCCAAAUAUAUUUCACAAUGGUCUAUUUUAUCUCAUGCUACAUAAAAUGUUCAAAACAAACUGCUAUCAUUGACUUUAAUUUAAUAUAUGUAAAUGUAGAGAAUAAUAUAAAGAAAUAAAAUCUGGCCAGCAAAGCAAAA